GCUCACAAAAGUUUCUGCAGGCUCGGCAGCACUCAUCUCGGAGUGCAGACUCUGCAGUUCAGCUACAGGAGGAUAGAAACCGAAAAGCUGAGAGAACGAUUAACUGCUCGCUCGUCGUCGUAAAGAAUCUGGCCAAAGUACAAUUUGAGCAGAAGUUUGCUUAACAAAGGAAACUAACUCAAAGUGAACAUACCCAUCAGAGAAAGAUUGGAGCAGGCUGGCCUGAAGGAGCUGGAACACUACUGGAUUCUUCAAGAAAGAAUCUGGCCAAAGUACAAUUUGAGCAGAAGUUUGCUUAACAAAGGAAACUAACUCAAAGUGAACAUACCCAUCAGAGAAAGAUUGGAGCAGGCUGGCCUGAAGGAGCUGGAACACUACUGGAUUCUUCAAGAAAGAAUCUGGCCAAAGUACAAUUUGAGCAGAAGUUUGCUUAACAAAGGAAACUAACUCAAAGUGAACAUACCCAUCAGAGAAAGAUUGGAGCAGGCUGGCCUGAAGGAGCUGGAACACUACUGGAUUCUUCAAGGUGUUGUGGGAUAGUUGAUUACACUUUGACUCCCCAAGACCGUGUUAAAAAAGAUAAUCUUGAAUAAGAGGGUGGAGCCAGCCAAUAGUUGACCAGAAUUAGCAAUAGUGAAGCCAAGAAUAAAGAUAGAAAAUUUACACAGAAAGGAGUAGGGAGGAACUGGGGGACUUCUGGUCUGGGAUAUGGGGAGAGAGAGGUGCUUGCUGUGUCUCGGGUUAAAAGAAAGGAAGGUUGGUUGGUCACUCCUCCACUGCUGAUUUGAUCUAUCAGGCUUUAAUCCAAAAAUCUGACUGCUGAGUCGUUAUUGGUGCUAGAACAACUUACGUGAAGCAAUAUGUUGGUGCCCAAUGCAUGGCAUGAGAUCAUGCAAUGGAAGACACCACUUUCUCCUUCCACAGACACUCUGCAUGCAGCUUCUCCCAUGCCCACCCUUCCGAAGCACCCCUGAAACCUUCCCCGCAGGUAGUGGGCUUCUCCCACCAUAGACCCUCAGUGUCUGCUCCCUGGCCAAGGCCACAUGUACCCUCCACAUGACACAGUGUCUGCUCAAGCUUCUGCUGCUAAUCCUCCACACAUGCACGCGGGACAUUACUUUCCUGCAAGCUUCCACAGCCACAGUGGCCUGAUGCUGGCUCCCCCAUACCUGCACCCAUGGCAUCCUUACCUCCUGCUGUGCUCCCAUCACUCAAGUUCUCAGCAUCCACCAUGCCAGCCCAGCAGUUUUGGCAAAACACUUGGGGAGUCCAAUGAAAUAUAUUUCCCACAAUGAGAAUCAGAAAUAUCACAAUGCAGGGAGUUAGGACUCUGUAUAGUGCCACGGUGAAUGGCUUGAAAGUGGAAAAAGUAAAUGACUUAGCUGGAAUUGACAUAAUGUCAAUUAUAAAUCAGUUUGACAAUUCAUAUUUUCUUACUAAAAAGUGGCUUGAUAAAUGUACAAUAUGAAAACUUGACUAAUAAGAUAUAAGCCUUAGAAAGACUUAUUGUUGAUAAGAUACAAGCCUUAGAAAGACCUACUAAGGAAAAUAAGAAAAAUAUUCACACACAGACAGAGGAAUUUAAACCAGAACCUAUGACACCACUAUAUGAUGAAACUGAAGAGGAGUGAUCCAGGGUUAUUUGAAAACCAACCUUAGUUUAUCCAGUUACUAUACAAGAACAACCAGCAGACAAUAGGUACCCCCAAGGUUACAAAGAAAUCAAAUGGAAUCCUAUAGAAAUAUUAGAUUUGAGGAAAUUUAAGGAAGUAGUCCUUUCAUAUGGUAUGCAUUCACCCUAUGUGAAGCAAAUGUUGAAUUCAUGGGCAACUCAGGACAGAAUUAUCCCCCAAAACUGGAGAGAUUAAGAUAUAACAAUAUUGGAAACUGAUCCUCAGUUAUAAUUGAGAGCAUGGUAGAAAGAAGAAACUGUGGUAAUAGGACAAUGAAAUAAUAAUAGAGGUAUUGAUAUUUGACAAGAGCAGUUCCUAGGUAAAGGCCAAUAUGCUGAUUUGCAAAGACAGGUUGCAUUUGAUGAUCACACUUUGACUUUACGGCAUCUUUGAAUUCUUGGUACAAGGUUAAAGAAACAGGAACAAGGUCUGAAUAAUUUACUAAAAUUAUAUAAGCCCCCCAAAAAAUUACUGAUUUUUUUUUUACAAAGAAUAACAUUCUAUACUAAUAGAAUAGUAGCAGAUCCAGAAGUCUGACAAAUAAUAAUUGAAUCUUUGGUUUUUGUAAAUGUUAAUUCACAAUGCAAAAUGAUGAUUAGUCCUUUAAAGGCAAGAUCAUCAACAGUAGAGAAAUGGAUUAGAAAUAUGGCUGAUAUUGGAUCUCACACGAUGAAAAUUUGAUAGAAGUGAUUUCUAAAAAGUUUAAGGAAAAUAAAAAUAUCACAUAUUUUAAUUGUGGUAAGCAAGGUCAUCUGAAAGGGAUUAUGGGCAAGGUGUUCCUAGAAACAAUGUUUUUUCUAGAGAUAAUUCAAACAGAUGGCCAUACCUUCUAGAGUAUGCAGAAGGUGUGGCAAAGGUCACCAUUGGACUAAUGAAACAGAUUAACAAGGGACAGGCAAAGUAGCCCUUUACCAUCAGGAAACACUUAGGGAACCACUUGCAGGCCCCAUUAUCAAAUUUGGUUCAAUCAUUCCCUGUCAGCAUUGGAGAAACUCAUCAACAGAGCAAUUAGAAAACUUAAUGCCUGCUGCUAAAGAAUCAUACUGCUCUGGAUGUGCACAAGAACACAGCUUCAGCAGAUAAAACAAAGAAUUCAGGAGAUAAAAUAAAAGAAGUAUUUUGCAAACUUCUGUAAAUGAUCAAAGACCAAAUCUAAAAAUGCACAAAUGGCAUUGUAAUUGAAGGUUUAGUAGACAGAGGUGCAUAUUUAAUUAUAAUUUCACCAAAACCUUGGCAUCCAAAUUGGCCUCUUCAGGAAGUAAAUAUUCAGUUUCUAGGAAUUGGAACUUUAUCUCAGGUAAAAUAAACAAGGUGAUAGAGUGUAUGGUAUAAGAAGACAUAUCGGGAAAUAAAUCCAUAUGCAGCUAAAAUAGCAAUGAAUUUAUAGAAACAUGAUUUGUUAUAGAAAUGGAAAACAUACAUUAACAUUUCUCCAAUUUCAGAAAAAAAGAAUAAAAUAAAGAAUGCUUCAGAGGAAAAGUCUUAAAAGGUACUAUCAAGAACAAUCACUGAUCACUCAAGUUGUACAUAAGCAGGGCACAACAGCUGUUGAUCUUUCAAAGGUAUCAACAGCACUACCUUUAAAGUGGUUAACUGACAAACUGUGGUGAGAGCAAUGACCUUUGACAUCAGAAAAAUUGCAGGCACUCAGACAGCUGGUAGAGGAGGAGUUAAAUGCUCAACAUAUUGAAAAAUCAACCAAUCCUUGGAAUUCUAUAUUUGUCAUUAAGAAGAAAUCUAGAAAACCAAGAUUGUUAAAAUAUUUAAGAGUCAUAAAUAGGGUGAUUCAGCCAAUGGGCCCUUUAUAACUUGGAAUUCCCUUGCUUUCUUUACUGCCUAAAGGAUGUCCUAUUAUUAUGAUUAGUAUAAAAGUCUGUUAUUUCACUAUAACUUUCCAAGAACAGGAUACAGAAAAAGUUGCCUUCACAAUGCUACUUAUUUUGAUUCCCAGAUUGUUAAAAGGUAUCACUGGAAAAUUAUUGCACAAGGGAUGUUAAAAAGCUCUACCUUGUAUCAAUACAACAGCCAUUAUAGAUAAUUCAUUAACAGUUUUGGGUUGAUAUCUUACUAGCUGAUUCAGACUCAACUAUCUUAGAAAAAUGUUUGGUGAAAUAAAGAGAAUUUUGCCUUGUUGGGUGUUACAGAUUUCUCCUGUAAAAAUACAAAAAGUGAUUUUAUUAAUUGCAUAAUUCAGUCACAGAAAGUACAAAUUAGGAGAGAUCAAUUAUGAACUCUUAAUGAUUUUCAAAAAUUGCUGGGAGAUGUUAACUCUCUUUGGCCCACAAUUGGAUUAACAACUCAGGAGUCAAGUAAUUUAUCUCAAACCUUAUAAGGUGAUAGGGACCUAAAUUCUCAGAGAAAACUAUCAACUGGUGCUGAAAGAGAGCUGGCUCUGAUAGAAAAGAAAUUACAGUAUGCACAUGUGGACUAUGUGGUUCCAAGUUUGGGGCUUGAUUGUGUUUUAGUUAUUUUGCCUUCUACUCAUUCUAAAGACCACUGGACAAAUAAGACUGCUGAAGAAGAAGGAUGGAUAAUCAAGAUAAAAUGUCCUAAGAAAAAGUAAAUUGCUCCAAUGGCACAGCACAUAUCCAACAGGGUGGAUUUUCACAAGUCUUCCCAAAUGCUUGCUUUUGCUGGUCUGCAAAAAUAUAAAAGGCAAAUGGUCUUUUUAAGGUCCAAUGCAAUUAAAAAUUAAAGCUGGCUGCGGAA